rnacentral:rRNA from 1 species
GACGAACGCUGGCGGCGUGCCUAAUACAUGCAAGUAGAACGCUGAAGGAGGAGCUUGCUUCUCUGGAUGAGUUGCGAACGGGUGAGUAACGCGUAGGUAACCUGCCUGGUAGCGGGGGAUAACUAUUGGAAACGAUAGCUAAUACCGCAUAAUAGUAGAUGUUGCAUGACAUUUGCUUAAAGGUGCAAUUGCAUCACUACCAGAUGGACCUGCGUUGUAUUAGCUAGUUGGUGGGGUAACGGCUCACCAAGGCGACGAUACAUAGCCGACCUGAGAGGGUGAUCGGCCACACUGGGACUGAGACACGGCCCAGACUCCUACGGGAGGCAGCAGUAGGGAAUCUUCGGCAAUAGACGGAAGUCUGACCGAGCAACGCCGCGUGAGUGAAGAAGGUUUUCGGAUCGUAAAGCUCUGUUGUAAGAGAAGAACGAGUGUGAGAGUGGAAAGUUCGCACUGUGACGGUAUCUUACCAGAAAGGGACGGCUAACUACGUG